UACAGCUAGAAGAUCCCUGGUUCGAGUCCUGACCUUCCUGGGGUCUUUCUGCAUGGAGUCUCGAUGUUCUCUCAGCUGGGUUCUCCAGGUUCUCCAGCUUCCUCCCACAGUCCAGAAACAUGCUGAGGUUUAAUUGGUGAUUCUAAAUUGUCUGUAGGUGUGAAUGUGAGUGUCAUUGUGUCUCUCUGUGUAGCCCUGUGAUGGACUGUUACCUGUCCAGGUGAACCUGUGAUGGACUGUUACCUGUCCAGGUGAACCUGUGAUGGACUGUUACCUGUCCAGGUGAACCUGUGAUGGACUGUUACCUGUCCAGGUGAACCUGUGAUGGACUGUUACCUGUCCAGGUGAACCUGUGAUGGACUGUUACCUGUUCCUGCAGGUGGUUCGUCUCCUUCAGAUCUUCCAGAUGUCCACCAGGCAGAUGAUAAACUAUCAGUGUGUUUUUAAAUUCACAUAAGCUUCAACCGACCGUCCGGAUUCUGCUCCAGGACUCUCGUCUUCGUCCAACCUUGUGGCGUCGAAGCGUCCGUUCUCCUUCCUGUGGCGUCCUCGUCCUCCAGAGAGAAAAUCAAUCUUGGAAAGAGAAUCCCAGCAGCAGCUCCUCGUCCUCGUCCCGUCCUCCUCCGGAUAUAAACCGCUUCCUUUCAUCUCUGCUUCCUAGAAAGCUUCCUGACACUUUUCUGGCACUUUAUUAAUUCAUAUUUUUACUUUUUUUGGGUUUUUUUUUCUCUGCCAGCUUCUUUUCUCUUUUUACUCUGGUGUUUUUUGUUGUUUUUGAGCCACAGGUGUGACAGGAAGAGAAAGGAAUUCGUCUCCGGGCGUCCGAACAUCUCCUCCAACUUCAGGUACCGAGUCUUUACCCACUUAUUUUUAUUCUUUUUGCUGAUUUCAGAGCCUUUUUUGAUCUAUUCGCUCCGGAUUCUCACCAUCAUUUCAUCACUUUUUUCUUUGUCCUGGCACAGGUGUUUGUUUUUUUGUUUUUUUGCUACGGGGUUAUUUAUUUAUUCAUUGAAUCUCUGUUUGAUUCAACAUUUAGUAGCACCAUCUUUCUUUCUUUCUUUUUUCCGGCUCGUCUCCCUGUAGUCGUUUUAUUCUGGUUCAAACUUUCUCCUCCAGAAGUGGGACUGGCUGCUAAUAAGGGCAGCGGAGAGGCUCGGAGACGUGGA